UGGGGGGGGACACAGAAGGGUAGGCCAGCAGCGUGAAGGACAUCGCUGUCUAAGCCGGUAGGCGGAGGAAGGAGGCAAAUCCCUUUCCUCAAACAAACGCCGAGAGGUGACGGGGAGCUCCUACGGGAGCGAACUGGUUGAGCCCAUGCUGUCAAGAAAAGCCUCUAGUGAGAAGGGCGGUAUCCGUACCGCAAACCGACACAGGUAGGUGGGAAGAGUAUUCCAAGGCGCGCGAGUGAUCCCCCGUUAAGGAACUCGGCAAUCUAACCCCGUACCUUCGGAAGAAGGGGUGCCCCAACCGGUUGAGAGGUUCGCCCUCAAAGGCUGGCAGGGGCCGCAGAGAAAUGGCUCUGGCGACUGUUUAAUAAAAACACAGGACUCUGCUAAGCCGCAAGGCGAUGUAUAGGGUCUGACGCCUGCCCAGUGCCGGAAGGUUAAGGGGAGGGGUCAGCUUGAAAAGCGAUUUUCAGGCGAAGCUCUGAACCGAAGCCCCGGUAAACGGCGGCCGUAACUAUAACGGUCCUAAGGUAGCGAAAUUCCUUGUCGGGUAAGUUCCGACCCGCAUGAACGGCGCAACGACUGGAGCGCUGUCUCAACGGGGAGCUCGGCGAAGUUUCAUUACAAGUGCAGAUGCUUGUUACCCGCGACUAGACGGAAAGACCCCGUGAACCUUUACUGUAACCUGAUAUUGAAUCCGGAUAUACCCUGUGCAGGAUAGGUGGGAGGCGGUGAACCGGGAGCGCUAGCUUCCGGGGAGCCAUCCUUGAGAUACCACCCUUGGCCUAUCCAGGUUCUAACCCGCUUUGGUGAAUCCCAAAGGGGGACAGUGUCAGGCGGGCAGUUUGACUGGGGCGGUCGCCUCCUAAAAUGUAACGGAGGCGCCCUAAGGUUCCCUCAGCACGUUUGGAAAUCGUGCGUCGAGUGUAAGGGCAGAAGGGAGCCUGACUGCGAGAGGGACACUUCAAGCAGAGACGAAAGUCGGGCCUAGUGAUCCGGUGGUUCUGAGUGGAAGGGCCAUCGUUCAUCGGAUAAAAGGUACUCUGGGGAUAACAGGCUGGUCUCCUCCAAGAGUCCACAUCGACGAGGAGGAUCGGCACCUCGAUGUCGGCUCGUCGCAUCCUGGGGCUGAAGUAGGUCCCAAGGGUCGGGCUGUUCGCCCAUUAAAGCGGUACGUGAGCUGGGUUUAGAACGUCGUGAGACAGUUCGGUCCCUAUCUGUCGCGGGCGGAGGAUAUUUGCGGGGAGCUGUCCCUAGUACGAGAGGACCGGGAUGGACGAACCUCCAGUGUUCCAGUUGUCCUGCCAGGGGCAUUGCUGGGUAGCUGUGUUCGGAAGGGAGAAGCGCUGAAAGCAUCUAAGCGCGAAACCCACCCCAAGAUCAGAUAUCCCACUGGGGAACCAGGUAAGACCCCGGGGAGAUGACCCGGUUGAUAGGCUCCAAGUGUAAGGAUGGUAACAUCUUGAGCUGAGGAGUACUAAUCGGUCGAGGACUUGACCGC
rnacentral:rRNA from 1 species